GCUGGCGGCGUGCCUAACACAUGCAAGUCGAGCGGUAACAGGUGUAGCAAUACAUGCUGACGAGCGGCGAACGGGUGAGUAAUGCUUCGGAAUCUGCCCAAUGGUGGGGAAUAACCAGCCGAAAGGUUGGCUAAUACCGCAUAAGUCCUACGGGAGAAAGCAGGGGAUCGUAAGACCUUGCGCCGAUGGACGAGCCGAAGUCGGAUUAGCUGGUUGGUAGGGUAACGGCCUACCAAGGCGACGAUCCGUAGCUGGUCUGAGAGGACGACCGCCACACUGGGACUGAGACACGGCCCAGACUCCUACGGGAGGCAGCAGUGGGGAAUAUUGGACAAUGGGGGAAACCCUGAUCCAGCGACGCCGCGUGUGUGAAGAAGGCCUGCGGGUUGUAAAGCACUUUUAGUGGGGAUGAAAAGCUCAGGGCUAAUACCUCUGGGUCUUGACCUAACCCAAAGAAAAAGCACCGGCUAACUCUGUGCCAGCAGCCGCGGUAAUACAGAGGGUGCGAGCGUUAAUCGGAAUUACUGGGCGUAAAGCGUGCGUAGACGGUUAUGUAAGUCGGGUGUGAAAGCCCCGGGCUCAACCUGGGAAUGCCAUUCGAGACUGCAUAGCUAGGGUGCGGAAGA
rnacentral:rRNA from 1 species